rnacentral:rRNA from 1 species
GCAGUUGCGGGGUGCUUACCAUGCAAGUCGAACGAUGAAGCCCCUCGGGGUGGAUUAGUGGCGAACGGGUGAGUAACACGUGGGCAAUCUGCCCUUCACUCUGGGACAAGCCCUGGAAACGGGGUCUAAUACCGGAUAACACUCUCCGAGGCAUCUCGGGGGGUUGAAAGCUCCGGCGGUGAAGGAUGAGCCCGCGGCCUAUCAGCUUGUUGGUGAGGUAGUGGCUCACCAAGGCGACGACGGGUAGCCGGCCUGAGAGGGCGACCGGCCACACUGGGACUGAGACACGGCCCAGACUCCUACGGGAGGCAGCAGUGGGGAAUAUUGCACAAUGGGCGAAAGCCUGAUGCAGCGACGCCGCGUGAGGGAUGACGGCCUUCGGGUUGUAAACCUCUUUCAGCAGGGAAGAAGCGAAAGUGACGGUACCUGCAGAAGAAGCGCCGGCUAACUACGUGCCAGCAGCCGCGGUAAUACGUAGGGCGCAAGCGUUGUCCGGAAUUAUUGGGCGUAAAGAGCUCGUAGGCGGCUUGUCACGUCGGGUGUGAAAGCCCGGGGCUUAACCCCGGGUCUGCAUUCGAUACGGGCUAGCUAGAGUGUGGUAGGGGAGAUCGGAAUUCCUGGUGUAGCGGUGAAAUGCGCAGAUAUCAGGAGGAACACCGGUGGCGAAGGCGGAUCUCUGGGCCAUUACUGACGCUGAGGAGCGAAAGCGUGGGGAGCGAACAGGAUUAGAUACCCUGGUAGUCCACGCCGUAAACGGUGGGAACUAGGUGUUGGCGACAUUCCACGUCGUCGGUGCCGCAGCUAACGCAUUAAGUUCCCCGCCUGGGGAGUACGGCCGCAAGGCUAAAACUCAAAGGAAUUGACGGGGGCCCGCACAAGCAGCGGAGCAUGUGGCUUAAUUCGACGCAACGCGAAGAACCUUACCAAGGCUUGACAUACGCCGGAAAACCCUGGAGACAGGGUCCCCCUUGUGGUCGGUGUACAGGUGGUGCAUGGCUGUCGUCAGCUCGUGUCGUGAGAUGUUGGGUUAAGUCCCGCAACGAGCGCAACCCUUGUUCUGUGUUGCCAGCAUGCCCUUCGGGGUGAUGGGGACUCACAGGAGACUGCCGGGGUCAACUCGGAGGAAGGUGGGGACGACGUCAAGUCAUCAUGCCCCUUAUGUCUUGGGCUGCACACGUGCUACAAUGGCAGGUACAAAGAGCUGCGAAGCCGCGAGGCGGAGCGAAUCUCAAAAAGCCUGUCUCAGUUCGGAUUGGGGUCUGCAACUCGACCCCAUGAAGUCGGAGUUGCUAGUAAUCGCAGAUCAGCAUUGCUGCGGUGAAUACGUUCCCGGGCCUUGUACACACCGCCCGUCACGUCACGAAAGUCGGUAACACCCGAAGCCGGUGGCCCAACCCCUUGUGGGAGGAGCUUCGAAGGUGAAAUGCAAU